UGGGUGUUAGGUUAAUUAAACUGUGAGCUUUCAAGGCUUAAGACGCGAAAGCACACUCAG
rnacentral:tRNA from 1 species